rnacentral:rRNA from 1 species
AGAGUUUGAUCCUGGCUCAGAUUGAACGCUGGCGACGUGCUUAACACAUGCAAGUCGUGCGAGAAAGGAGGCUUCGGUCUCUGAGUAGAGCGGCGCACGGGUGAGUAACGCGUGGAUGAUCUACCCUUGAGUUCGGGAUAACGGUGCGAAAGCGCCGCUAAUACCGUAUAACAAUCCAUUUCAUCGUGGGUUCAAAGCAGGCCUCUUCAUGAAAGCUUGCGCUUGGGGAUGAGUCCGCGUCCCAUUAGCUUGUUGGCGGGGUAACGGCCCACCAAGGCUACGAUGGGUAGCUGGUCUGAGAGGAUGAUCAGCCACACUGGAACUGAAACACGGUCCAGACUCCUACGGGAGGCAGCAGUGGGGAAUAUUGCGCAAUGGGGGAAACCCUGACGCAGCGACGUCGUGUGAGGGAAGAAGGCCUUCGGGUCGUAAACCUCUGUCAGAAGGGAAGAACAUCCGGGAGUCGAACAGCCUCCCGGCCUGACGGUACCUUCAGAGGAAGCGCCGGCUAACUCCGUGCCAGCAGCC